CUAGUGCACAAUUAAAGCCCAAUUUAUGGAAGAAUUAACAGCAAACUUUUUCUUCCUUGAUGGCAUCUGGGAUACUUCGUUUUUAACUUAUUGGUUCAAUGAUUUUGCCAUAUUUUAUGACAUAGAAAUAUAGAUUAAUUUUUUAUGCACUGGCAGAAAUGUAUAUAAUGAAACAAUUGUGAAAAUGGUUAGAAUGCAAGUUUCUUGCUAAAAAUUAUAUAGCAUCCUUGACUCCUUGGAUGUUUUAGGUUGUGGGAGGUGAAUUCUGAUAACUAGAUAGGAAGUUUGGGCCCUGAUGAAUAUGGUUAUUAUCCUCUCUACUUAUGUACAAUGACAGUAAUUUGUGUUUAAAGCCUUGCUCCAGAUUUCAUAAUGAGGAACAUUUACUAAACAUACUAAUUUAUGAUAUAAAAGAAAUGAUCUGUUGACCUAAUUAAACCUCUCGCAAGAAGGAAUAAUGGUCUUUGAUAGGAACCAUGAGUGUCCUUUUCUUUUUCCCCCUUAUUUUGGGUUUUGGGAUGGUAGGGUGGUGGGUUGUUGUAUUGGGUAGGUAAGGUAACUUCUACAAAAGCUUUGCACUUAUGAUAUGCGUGUGCCCGCAUGUGCAUGUAAAUAUGUAUGUAUCAGGACAUCAAAGAAAAGAACAGUGAUGUUAAUUAUAACUAUAUUGAUUUCUUCUUCUUCUGUUGACAUUUUGAGUAAUCAUAUUUCAUUGGCUUUUAGUAUUGUUUUGGGUCUCUGAGUUCUUUGGAGGUUUUAGUAAAUAUCUAUUAUAAACUGCAUUGUGGAUUAGAUGAUACGUUCCUUCCUAAUUAACAGAAUCAUUC
rnacentral:misc_RNA from 1 species